rnacentral:misc_RNA from 1 species
GGUUCUUUUGCAUUUUGAUUGGCAAGAAGGAAAUCAAUCACUGCUCCUGGCUUCACAAUCAUUGUGGUUGACACAUCCAUGUUCAAUGAAAGGCCUCCCUGCGUGGCCCGGAAGCUUGCAUGGAAACCUCGGCAUCCUGAAACUCCUCCACCAAGAUCAACAAAGUUUCGAGGCUCAUUGUGAAAAAAAGACUGGCGCACAAUAAGGCAGCCCCGUUUG